AGUAUAUAAAAAGAAUGGUAUUAGACGGUAGAUCAGGAGCUUCUGCUUUAUUUCAUAGAAACAAAGACUUUCAGUGAAAUUAAAAUGUGGUAAAUUCGAAAACCUACAAAAGGAAAUACUCUUCACACAAUGUAUAAUUAGACUGUGGAACUCAUUGCCACAGGAUGCCAUUGACCAAAAAAAGUAGCAAGAUUCGAAAAGGGAUUAGAUAUUAAUGGACAAGAAUAUCUGAAGUUUUAAUGGAUAAUGCGAUCAAAUUUUGUAAGAGAUGUUAACCUUCAUGCUUCAGAAUUUGAACCAAUCUUGAACUACUAGCUAUUAGGAGGGGUUUUUUUGCAUCUUCCUCUGAAGCAUCUAGCGUUGGCUCCUGUCUGAGCCACAAUGUUACACUUAAUGCAUGAUGGGUCUGGUCUGGUAUGACAAUUCCUUUGUAAUUACGAACACAUCCUGGUAUAUCGAAUAAGGGAGGAGGAUUUCAGCCUGUCCUUAAAAUUGACAUAAAAGUGGCAACUAACUGACGGUCUUGUUGUCAGUUGUAAGAUUUUCAUAACAGGGGGCCGGGGUGGGGAGUGGAAGCCAAUUGAACAGUGCAUGUCAGUUAUAUUUAACUCACUAAAGCCUACAUACAUAUCGUUAUACUACUUUUUGCACAGUAAAGCUAUAGCUGUGGAACAAUUCACUUGAGGCAAAAUGCAAACAGAUUAAUUGUAGAUUUAUUUAUUUUUCUACAGGAUCUGCCAUUGACGCACAUUUCUGCAGUCCAUUGAAGGUUAACCAACCAGUCCAGGUUUUGGAGUUGGCUACUUGAUAUAGGUAGGACUAUGGUUGUGAGGCAGCACCCUUUGCUAGAUGUGGAUCCCACCAGGAUGAUCUGUGCUUUCUUCAGUCAACUUCAGGCUGGGCAUGCACACUUUCUAGAAAGAGGUGAGGGUCACGGAAGCUUCGCUUGGGUGUCGUGGCAGCCUGUAGUUUAAAGCAAUACAGAUGAGCACAUCAAACUAAUUCUUCCUGUUCUACGCUGUUUCCCUGUCAUAUUGGAUCCACUUCAACCUUAUGACAUUUCAU
rnacentral:lncRNA from 1 species